rnacentral:tRNA from 1 species
UGGCUUAGUGGUAGAGUGCUUGCCUUACAUGCAUGAGGCCCUGGGUUCGAUUCCUCAG